AUAUUUCGGAACUGAGUCUAGUUCCUUCGAUAUCAAUGCAAUCUAGUAAUAUGAUUUUCUAGUAAUAUAAUCUAGUAAUUAUAUUGAUAUCGAAGGAACUAGACUCAGUUCCGAAAAUAU